UUGAUCCUGCCGGACCUGACUGCUAUCGGAUUGGUACUAAGCCAUGCGAGUCAUUGUAGCAAUACAAGGCGGACGGCUCAGUAACACGUAGUCAACCUAACUCGUGGACGUGGAUAACCUCGGGAAACUGAGAAUAAACCACGAUAGAUCAUAGUGCCUGGAAUGGCUUAUGGUCCAAACAGUUUACUGCCAUGGGAUGGGACUGCGGCCUAUCAGCUUGUUGGUGAGGUAAUGGCCCACCAAGGCGAUUACAGGUACGGGCUCUGAGAGGAGAAGCCCGGAGAUGGGUACUGAGACACGGACCCAGGCCCUAUGGGGCGCAGCAGGCGAGAAACCUUAGCAAUGUGCGAAAGCACGACUGGGUCAGUCCGAGUGAUUCCUGAUAAAGGAGUCUUUUGCCUGUCCUAAAAGCACAGGUGAAUAAGGGGUGGGCAAGUCUGGUGUCAGCCGCCGCGGUAAUACCAGCACCUCGAGUGGUCAGGACGUUUAUUGGGCCUAAAGCAUCCGUAGCCGGCUUUGCAAGUCUUCGGUUAAAUCCACCUGCUCAACAGAUGGGCCGCUGGAGAUACUACAGAGCUAGGGAGUGGGAGAGGCAGACGGUAUUCAGUGGGUAGGGGUAAAAUCCUCUGAUCCAUUGAGGACCACCAGUGGCGAAGGCGGUCUGCCAGAACACGUUCGACGGUGAGGGAUGAAAGCUGGAGGAGCAAACCGGAUUAGAUACCCGGGUAGUCCCAGCUGUAAACGAUGCAAACUCGGUGAUGCAUUGGCUUAUGGCCAAUGCAGUGCCGCAGGGAAGCCGUUAAGUUUGCCGCCUGGGAAGUACGGACGCAAGUCUGAAACUUAAAGGAAUUGGCGGG
rnacentral:rRNA from 1 species